rnacentral:tRNA from 1 species
GAGAAUGUAGCUCAGCCGGUAGAGCAACGGACUUUUAAUCCGUGGGUCGCGGGUUCGAUCCCCGCCAUUCUCACAA